rnacentral:rRNA from 1 species
CACGUAGGUAAUCUGCCUUUUGGUGGGGGAUAACCAGGAGAAAUCCUGGCUAAUACCGCAUAAGUAAGCAAUUAGAAAGGAUGCUCCGGCAUUCGCCGAAAGAUGAGCCUGCGGGACAUUAGUUUGAUGGUGGGGUAAUGGCCUACCAUGACAGCGAUGUCUAGCUGGUCUGAGAGGAUGAUCAGCCACACUGGAACUGAGACACGGUCCAGACUCCUACGGGAGGCAGCAGUGGGGAAUAUUGCGCAAUGGGGGAAACCCUGACGCAGCAACGCCGCGUGAGUGAGGAAGGCCCUAGGG